rnacentral:rRNA from 1 species
AGUGAACGCUGGCGGCAGGCCUAACACAUGCAAGUCGAACGGCAGCACGGCAGUAGCAAUACUGUGGGUGGCGAGUGGCGGACGGGUGAGGAAUACAUCGGGAUCUACCCUGUUGUGGGGGAUAACGUAGGGAAACUUACGCUAAUACCGCAUAAGAACUGAGGUUGAAAGCGGCGGACCGCAAGGCGUCGCGCGAUUGGAUGAACCGAUGUCCGAUUAGCUAGUUGGCGGGGUAAAGGCCCACCAAGGCGACGAUCGGUAGCUGGUCUGAGAGGACGACCAGCCACACUGGAACUGAGACACGGUCCAGACUCCUACGGGAGGCAGCAGUGGGGAAUUUUGGACAAUGGGCGCAAGCCUGAUCCAGCAAUGCCGCGUGCAGGAUGAAGGCCUUCGGUUGUAACGUAGCUUUGUUACGGUAACGAAACGGACGUCUUUCUAAUAAAGGAGACGUAAUGACGGUACCGUAAGAAUAAGACACC